UUAACACUGGGUUUCUCUGUUGUUUCCUUGUAGUUAAAUGAAGGUGAUUCACUUUUGGUUGGGUCACAGUGUGUGUGAUGUGGCUGAGAGGCACUUGAUCACCCCUCGCUGAUGGCAAAGUUGUGCGGGACGCUGCCCUGUGCCGGUACUGUAUACUUCUUUAUCAUCCGUAUUACCGAGUGAUUCGUAGAGAGACCAUUUGAGGUUCUGCACAUAUCUUAUUUCUCACUUAAAUUCUCUUUGCUGAGUUGUGUGUUGAUCUGUCUGGCUAUGUUCAACUUUACUCUAACGAUUGCAAAACGGUACGUUUGUAACCCUGGUUUUCCUAUCUGCUGUGUCUUUCCACUGGCCGGCAUUUUCCCGUAAAAAACAAAAUUGCUUUCUUACUUAUUUAGCUAUAAGUCAGCUUAGCUAUAUGAAUUCUUGUGGGUUUUUUAAAAUUAUAAUCCUUUCAUCUCUCUCACUCUCCAGAUAAAAUUGCCCCCAGGUUUGGCUAAUGAGAAUGCAUUUAAGCUGGCCUCUUUCUUCUUUUGACACAAUCCUUGUCACUGUUUGUAUACUCUCUUACUUCCUGACCAAACACACCCAUGCACACACACACACAGACACACGUUUCCACACACACACACACCCAAUUCAGCAUAGCUUCCUUACCCCAGCUAAAGUCCCAGACCCUGAUACAAGCUGACCAGUUUCUGAAACUGACAUCACAGAGCUUGCUUGUGUCCUUCUGAAGUGCAACCUGGGGUUUCACAGUGGAGACACACUGUGCCUGUUUUUCACAUAAACAGGGUUACUGGGAAUCUGAAACAUGAUUUCUACACCAUCAAUAUGUACCAUAUUGUAAAUACGUGUUCAAAUGAUCACAUGCAAUUAGUCUGUAAGAUAAAUCAGUUUAAAACGUCAUGUUUUAAGUUACCAUCGUGGCCAUCUGCUUCACAGUGCAGAUGGAGAUAUUGACAAACCAUGCCUUGGGAGAGCCCUGGGAGACUCGAGAUGACUCAGCUGGAAAAUAGUCUAGAAUAUAGGUGCAAAUUGUUAUUUUAAAUACACAGUCUGAAGGGAUGGCUGCUAAGAGUGUUUACUACUUUUGCAGCAGACCUUGGUUGGGUUCCCAGCAUCCUGAGCAGGUGGCUCACAAUCACUUAUAACUCCCAACUGCAGCAGAUCUGAGUCUUUGGACCUCAGUGGGCACCCACACUCACAUGCAGAUACCUCAACACACACUCACACAAUUAAAAAUAAAAUAGAUGUUACAUUUACAACAUGAAAGCAACAAAAUUCACGACUUUUAGAGUAUGUCAUACUGCAGAAGCUAAAAUUGUAUCAGGUGAAUUAAAGAGAUUCAAAGAUGUUUUUACUCACGGCAGCUCGAGAUUAAAGCGUGUAUAAAGGGAGAAGGGCUGGGAGGGUUAGAUACAUCCUUUGCAAUCAAGAAUUCACAGCAGCUGGGAGUACCUGUGCUGAAUCUGCACAAGGACAUGUCUUUAACAGCAGGUAUGGAUGCUGGAGGGGCUCAGGGGGGCUACCAUUCACUGCUGAACUAUUUACUAUUGAUGAACUCAGGAAACCCAGGAGGCUCCAAUACAAUGAUGAAGAUGGCCCAGGUUAAACUAAAUGGGUCACAAAGCACAACCCAAAGUCAUGAUUCUGUGAAAGAAUAUGGGUGAGACAGAAUAGAGGGGGAUGGGAAGGAGAAGAGAGAGUGGGAGGAGAAAGCAGUCAGAAUAUGUGAUAUACACGGAAUUGUCAACUUUCACAUACAUGAAAUUGUCGAAUCGCAAAAUUAAUGAGUAAAAAUGACUUUAAAUAGAAUGCACGUGCCCUCCCUAACUUGUUAGUAUAUGGCCAAUUUCCAACCUAAAUAACGCUUCUUUUAAAAGUUGGCUGCUUCCUUUGAAAGGCCAUCUGGGGAAGCCGGAAUACGGAUGAAAGAGUGGUUUAUUGCAGAGGCAGACUGUGGUUCAAGGCCUCUUUGUCCAGGAACAGCAGGCCAGCCUCAGCCAUCAAAGCCUAUGACAGCCUUUCAUCAUAAUAUCAGCUGGUAGCAACAGCUCUUCUGCAGCCAGGAGCCAGUUCGAUAUCUAAAACCGGACAAUCCUCCAGUCACUUUACAGGUAUUAAAACCAGCACCAGAGUCAUUGCUCAGCAUGUGCUGUAAAGCAAAUACAAACUCACGUGCCCCUGGGGCCGUAAGACCUCAGCCAGGGGAAGGUAACUGCAGCAUCUGCAGUUGUAGCCAUUGUAAGAUCCCACGGUGAUAUGUGGAAGACAAUACUUCCCACCAUUGGCAAAGCCUUCAUUUGAUUCCUUAGCUUAUUUCAGAGUCCCCUGACUUUCUCAGCUGCCACGUUUCUAGGAGACAGAAAUUGAAAUCAAAGAAGCUGCAAGGCAAGACAAGGGGGACAGGAGUAUGACUGGACCAAAGAGCCCAAGUCCCACGGUUUUCUUUCAACAGAAUAAGUGAACGUGAAGACACAGAAGGAAGCUUGGCCAAAGGAUCAGUAAGACACCAGUCACAAAGGAUCACCAACAGGCAUGCCAGCCUGCUUAGUCUUGUCUUCUAUUGGAAGCCACAAACCAUUAUCACUGACGUCCAAAAUGUGUGUCUCUGCUUCACGCCCUGCACUCCGAAGACUGAAUUAUGGUCAUUAUGGAUGCACUGCUACUCAUUCCGUCACGUUCAAAAUUUGACAAUGCAUGUGUAGCACAUUCAGCAGAAGCAAUGAUAAAUCCCGAAACAGUCGUUCUUCAAGAAAGAUCCCUGAAUUGAUUGCAGACAGGAAUAAGACAGAACAAAACCGGCCCUGAGUUCCUCUCUCUGGGAAGCUUGUUUUCACACACAGGUGAGAUCCAAGCAACUCUCUGCAUGGAUGAGAUGAAAAGAAAAGGCUGUGUUUUAAUCUUCCUGUAAACAGACGCUAAAAUGGAUUUUGAAAGUUCAAUACCCUUUGUGGUGAUCCACAUUGACUUGUGGCCUCGUUCAGUUCACUUCAUUCUCAGCCCCAUCUGCUAGGGGAAGAGAAAAGAAUCUUGGUCUUUAACAUGGUCAAAUUAAACCCUGGGAACAGGAAACCAUCUUUCUAAGGAAAGAGAAGGAACAGGGUUCCUAUUCUUGCCUGGUUUGGAUGAGUGAAACUGCAUUAAAUUAUGAAGAUAAUUGA